rnacentral:lncRNA from 1 species
CCAAAUUUUUUUUCAAUGUAGAAAAUUUUCUAUACUUUCGAAAAACUGAAGUUUCCUUUAAGGAGAUAUGUACAUCAAUUUGUUCUAGUCAAUAUUUGUGUUUUCUUUUGAUGACAAAUAAGUAUUUUAUUUUUAUGGUUGUGCUUUCAUGUAAUUUGUGAAAUUUUUGUGUGGAUUUUGAUUUAAACUUAUUUAUGAUCCAUUAUCGAUAUGCAC